rnacentral:snRNA from 8 species
AUACUUACCUGGCAAGGGAGAUACCGUGAUCAAGAAGGCGGUUCACCCAGGGCGAGGCUCAGCCAUUGCACUCCGGCUGUGCUGACCCCUGCGAAUUUCCCAAUGUGGAAAUCUCGAUUGCAUAAUUUCUGGUAGUGGGGGACUGCGUUCGCGCUCUCCCCUG